rnacentral:piRNA from 1 species
UGUCAAUGAAGAAGAAGCUCAGUUCAGC